GACGAACGCUGGCGGCGUGCUUAACACAUGCAAGUCGAACGGAAAGGCCCUGCUUGCAGGGUACUCGAGUGGCGAACGGGUGAGUAACACGUGGGUGAUCUGCCCUGCACUUCGGGAUAAGCCUGGGAAACUGGGUCUAAUACCGGAUAGGAGCCAUUUUUAGUGUGAUGGUUGGAAAGUUUUUUCGGUGUAGGAUGAGCUCGCGGCCUAUCAGCUUGUUGGUGGGGUAAUGGCCUACCAAGGCGGCGACGGGUAGCCGGCCUGAGAGGGUGGACGGCCACAUUGGGACUGAGAUACGGGCCAGACUCCCACGGGGGGCAGCAGUGGGGAAUAUUGCACAAUGGGCGCAAGCCUGAUGCAGCGACGCCGCGUGGGGGAUGACGGCCUUCGGGUUGUAAACUCCUUUCGCUAGGGACGAAGCUUUUUGUGACGGUACCUAGAUAAGAAGCACCGGCUAACUACGUG
rnacentral:rRNA from 1 species